AUUGAACGCUGGCGGCAGGCCUAACACAUGCAAGUCGAACGAGUGGCGGACGGGUGAGUAAUGUCUGGGAAACUGCCCGAUGGAGGGGGAUAACUACUGGAAACGGUAGCUAAUACCGCAUACCAUCGGAUGUGCCCAGAUGGGAUUAGCUAGUAGGGGGGGUAACGGCUCACCUAGGAGACGAUCCCUAGCUGGUCUGAGAGGAUGACCAGCAACAUGGGAACUGAGACAGGGUCCAAAAUCCUGCGUGAGGCAGCAGUGGUGAAGCUUGCACAAUGGGCGCAAGCCUGAUGCAGCCAUGCCGCGUGUAUGAAGUAGGCCUUCGGGUUGUAAAGUACUUUCAGCGAGGAGGCGUUACUCGCAGAGGAAGCACCGGCUAACUCCGUACCAGCCGCCGCGGUAAUAC
rnacentral:rRNA from 1 species